AGCGGCCGACCGCAACCACUGCAGUGCCGGCCGCACGCGAGGAUGUCAGACCUUCGCCCUUGACUCCACGGCUAGCGGCAACCCCCUCACCCAAAGCAGCUCCUGAUUUUGAGAGAGAUCUUGAUACUGCUUUCUCCUGUUGAUAUAUGUGUCUCCCAAUGCCCAAAGCGCGCAUUCUUUUUCAUCUGAUUCAUGCCAUUCCAUCAUACAAUUGUACAGCUAUUUCAUGAUUGCAUCUCGGUAGGUUAAAGAUACCCUGUUGCACUUGCUUCACUAAUCACUAUUGGAAAUCUGAGAAGCGUCAACAACUUGACCAUUUGCCGGACAAAUACGUGAGCAAAUAAAAGAAAACAGAAACUGGUAUGGAGCGGUUGUCACCAGAUGGCCUCGCUAUCUAUCUGAUGAGCUUGGAAUUGGAGAAUGCUAUUGCUGAUGGGAUGUCGAAAGAAGUUAUGAUGGCAUUGGAAAAGUAGUAUAUGGAGACUAUAAUGCCUUUGAGAGACAACAUAUCAAAAAUUCUUGAGCAACAUGUUCAAGGACUAAAAAGAAGACAGUCGAUAGCUCUGUAUGCUAUGCCAAAUCAGUUAUAGAUGGUAAUGAUGCGUAUGGAGACCCGAGGGUGAUCAAGGCGCAGAUUACGAUGGGACAUUUGGAACUCCAAGGCGAUGCAUAUCAGCUGAAGAACAAGCAUAUUUUACAGCAGGUGCUGUAUGUCCUGAUUAAGCCUUUUUUUGGUUGGCAUUGAACAAUUGCAGAACUGUAUGAGGCGAUACCUGGAGGAAACUCUUGCGGGCAAUGGGACACAAAGACUAGAAUCUUCUAGGUUUACUUAAUUGCUAGAACAAAAUCGCCAUCUGACGCCUUCACCACCAUCGGAGCCAUGACUUGAAUCUGUAGCCUCUUUACUGCCUCAUUGGGAUUGUGGGUCAAUCAAGCUCUUUGUCGUAUGCAUAUAUAAAUAUGAAAGGUUGCACAACUUUGAGCAUUGUUACACUACUACUGCUGAAAGCGAAAAUUUUCUUUUGCACAUGAACAAUAACAUAGGCAGUUUACCUCCAUGUCAAUGUUCGCCUUGCAUGCGUUUUGCGAUUUUGGACACAUCGUUCUCUUGCAGUGGGAGUCGGCUGUAUUUGGCGCUUACACAUUUCAGCUAUGUUCAUGUUGAUUUCUUUCAGAACUCCAGUUAUGCUCUUUGCCCGUCUGAAAUUGUUUUUUGAAAUGUAAUCGCCUUCAUGCAGGAUGUGGAAAAUAGCAAUGCCAUUUGUGACCGGAGGAAAACAGUCGAAUCAAUAGUGAUACAUGUGCUACCAACUACUGUGUAUCUGUUAAUUCUUCCUGGACGUAGGGCAUGUAAGCAAGCAGGGUGAAAGACAACGGUUGCAAGCAAUGCCUACUUCUUUAUGCUAGGUUCAGAUGUUGCACUCUGUGUGGCUUGGUCGGUGGUACACAUUAAGUUGCAGGCCUCUGACAGUCUUUUC